rnacentral:rRNA from 1 species
ACGAACGCUGGCGGCGUGCCUAACACAUGCAAGUCGAACGGGGAUAGAUAGCUUGCUAUUUAUUCUAGUGGCGCACGGGUGAGUAACGCGUAGAUAAUCUGCCUUGGACUCUGGGAUAACAUUUCGAAAGGGGUGCUAAUACCGGAUAAGCCCACGGGGACGUAAGUUCUUGCGGGAAAAGGGGGCCUCUGCAUAUGCUCUUGAUCCAAGAUGAGUCUGCGUACCAUUAGCUAGUUGGUGGGGUAAGAGCCUACCAAGGCGACGAUGGUUAGCUGGUCUGGGAGGAUGAUCAGCCACACUGGAACUGAGACACGGUCCAGACUCCUACGGGAGGCAGCAGUGGGGAAUUUUGCGCAAUGGGGGAAACCCUGACGCAGCAACGCCGCGUGAGUGAUGAAGGCUUUCGGGUCGUAAAGCUCUGUCUAGAGGGAAGAAAUGACGGUACCUAAGGAAUCAGGGGUUGCUAACUCUGU